CAUCUACUUAGGUCUACUGAAUUUUUAUACAAAAAUGGCCAUGAAGCAGAAAACAGCAUCAUGUGUGCCACCUGACUAUUUUCUACGUACGUGCACAGCACUUCAGAGUGACAGUGUGAAGAACUACGUAAAAACAAACUCAAAGCCAUUCAUCUCUCCAGUGCAGUGGAUCCUGAAAGAAAUCAGUUAUCCCAAAUCCAGGGGAUUAUCCAAAGUUUCUCCAACUUCUUACAAAGGAUAAACUCAAAGCAAGUUGGUUAGAAUGCCAGUUUCUUCAAGCAACUGAUACUUCAGAUAAAAAUAGCGAGAUCCUCUUAAAAUAAAACUUCAACUGCUUUGUCACAACUCAAUCAUUUUUAUGAAGAAAAAAAGGCAUUGUUACAAUGGCUCAAAAAUCGUUCCUUUAGUUAUAAGUAGAAUUGGUCAAAAGGUUGAUUGCACCUUCUAGCUAGCAAAGGUCUUUCCCACAUCUUCUUUCCCUUUGUAUUUCCUCUUGCCAUGUGUGAAGGGUAUAUAUCUGUACUUUAUCAUAUGCUUGAUUUGCCUCUUCAUAGUGAUACAAAACAGCAUAAUGAAGUACAUCACAAGGAUUGGCCAAAAAACAGGAACGUUGAAAGCCUCAAAGAAUGUACAUGCCAUAGCAACCAGGAUGCCUUUAGUGGCCGAGUGCCUUAAAAAUAGCAUUAACAAUUAAUCCUUCAACACCAGUCACCGUUAAUUAAUGCAGAUAUUUACACAUUUCAGAAACAGAACGUGGGCAGAUAGACCAACUCACCAGAAUUUAAACUCUGGGAGCCUCCGAAUGAAAGGCCGAAAUUCUUCAUUUUGCCUUGUGGGUAAGGAAGGACCAUCAUCUGAAUCUUCCAUUAAAGAGGGAUCUACCUUUGGCGACAAGAAAGCUAUAAAGAGAUUUAGAUGGUAGAUUCCCAAGGCAUAUGUCACAAUGUACCAACCCUGCAGUAAAUAAACUCUAAUCAUGUAGAUAAAACUCAGACCCAAAGUUACGAUCCAUCGCACUGCAGUAUAUGGAGUAGAUUUGUCUAACCAGGACUGGUAGAUCUGCCCGAGUCUUGUGAAAAAUCGAUAGACCACAGAAGGCUUCCCAUGAACAGACUCACCAAUACUGUCCCCUUCUGACAUGGUUGAGGCGGCUAAGCCGAAUCCUGCCUUCCGUCCCCCCCCCCCCCGCCUCCACAG
rnacentral:lncRNA from 1 species